GUCCCCAGGAGGCCUGCCGCACCUGAGCCCCUCCGCCCCCCCCCCCCAGAACCGAGGGACGGAAACGGCCAGGAGCGCCCACAUCCUGUUGUCCCCGCGUCUGCCUGAGAAGUCGGGGACACGGUGUCCCCCGCUUGGCCCAGGGCCUCCCUCCUGCUUCUCCAGGAAGGAAAGAGAAGGGGUUUCAUGAGGGCAAGGAAGCCUCGCCCGUGCCUCUGUCCCCCUGCCUUCCUCCCCUUCCCCGCCCGCUACGGCGAGUGUGCGGUGGCCAGUGUGCGCGUGUCCCGCCCUCUCAGCCUUCAGGUUGCUUCUCCUGGUGGUCACUGAGGUCUCCUGGGAAACACGCCGUACACCUGUGUGAAGGGACAGUCUCCCCACGCCCGCCCCCGCCCCCCAAGCUGAUCCGAACCCCCACAGGAAAGAGCAGAGCUUGUGGGGAACCAUGUAGCUGGAAUGGACUUGGCCCUGGGGACAUGCCCUGUAUGAUACUGACUUGAUGACAUCUAGUGGGAAGUCCUGAAGGUUCUUCUGCCAGAUGCCACACACCACAUCCCAACUGCCCUGCUUUCUCUGCCACUCCUCAAGGCUCAGGCUCUGAAGUAAGGCUGUCAGCUCCCAGACAAAGUCAGACUGUGGCUGAGAUUACUGGAAGUGGCUGUGAUGCCCAUCAGCAGAUGAUAGAGAUGGGCUUCCUGGAACUGCCACUAACCUCCUGCAGACCAGGCUCCAUGUCCCAGCAGGUCCCAGCCCAGGCCCAACCUACAGCCAUAACCAUGGAAGGCAGGUGGCCUCAGGUGCUGACAGCUGCUUUGGUCUCCAUGGAAGCAGAAGCCCCGCUGGAAGUACCUGCAGACCUGGGGCACCUUUCUGUCAUAAGCAUGGCAACUUGACCCCCAGUGAUCAUCCUUGAAUGGCAGCUGGGAACGGGGCUUGUUCUCCCUACCGUGACUGUAGUCAUCCUUCCCUGCAGCGUCCAUCCCAGCUGCAGGUCCUGUGAGCCUCCAUUCAUUUUCAAACACCUAUUGAUCAAUUUGGAUUUUAUGUGAUUUUAUAUAUAUAGAAACAUACAGCAUGUUCUCUGUUUUGGUUUGGCUUUGCUGUAUGGUUUGGAUGUGGCUUGUCCCCAAGAGUUCAUAUAUUGGAGGCUUGGGUCCUUAGUAUGGCAGUGGUGAAACAGUGGGACUUUGUAGAGGUAGGUCCUUGUGGAAUGUCUUUAGGUUAUUGGGGCUUUGCCUCAAGAGGGAUUAAAGUAGUUUUCCUGAGACCUGAGUUAGUUUAAUCAGAGCAAAUCACUCUAAGAGAGACUAACCUGGAAUCUCUCUCUGGCUUCCUAUGUCUCUCCAUAUGAUCUUGCCCUCUCAUAUUGCAGUCUCAGCAUUGUGAUGCCCUCUGCCACAAGUUCCUCACCAGAACCAAGCCAAUGCAGGUGCCAGACCCUUGAACCUUCAAAAUUGUGUUAAAUAAACCUCUUUUCUUUACGAAGUUA